AACGAACGCUGGCGGCAUGCCUAAUACAUGCAAGUCGAACGAGAUCUUCGGAUCUAGUGGCGCACGGGUGCGUAACGCGUGGGAAUCUGCCCUUGGGUUCGGAAUAACAGCGGGAAACUGCUGCUAAUACCGGAUGAUGACGUAAGUCCAAAGAUUUAUCGCCCAGGGAUGAGCCCGCGUAGGAUUAGGUAGUUGGUGGGGUAAAGGCCUACCAAGCCUACGAUCCUUAGCUGGUCUGAGAGGAUGAUCAGCCACACUGGGACUGAGACACGGCCCAGACUCCUACGGGAGGCAGCAUUAGGGAAUAUUGGACAAUGGGGGCAACCCUGAUCCAGCAAUGCCGCGUGAGUGAUGAAGGCCUUAGGGUUGUAAAGCUCUUUUACCCGGGAUGAUAAUGACAGUACCGGGAGAAUAAGCCCCGGCUAACUCCGUGCCAGCAGCCGCAGUAA
rnacentral:rRNA from 1 species